UAAAUACGUUAGGAGUCGGCUCUUCAGAUUCACUACAAAGCAUCGGCUCUGAGAGUCGUAUCUUUUGUGCCUUAUACAUCUCUAGAGGACAGACUGUGGUCACAUGCUGACCAUGUUUGGCUCAGCAAACAGCUGUAAGGCAGCUUUCUCAACUAUGAACAUAAUCAAAAUAUGUUUUGAGAACGGCUCAAACAAGCAGCAGCUCAGCUCUCCCAUUAAGCUGCAGAGAUAUUAGGGGAGUGAUAUGAGACAGAAAAAAAAUGUAAAAGUGUUCAAAUGUUUACAUUUAUGAGAUUUAAUUAUUGUUAAAGAUGUAUAGAAGUUGAUUCAGGUUGUUCAGUCAUGCUUUUUUAAGUUCUGCACUUUAUUCUAAGAUAUACAGUUACAUAUAAGUUAUUUAUUAAUAAAUGUCUAAAUGUUUUUGAACCGUACUGAAUUUAUUUGACGGUCAGUUUUUGAUUACAGGCAGACUCUAAUAAAACUACCAGGUUACAUCAGCAUAUAUCACAGUAACUCAAGUUAGACAUUAUGAUGUUCUGGACCUUUGCUGACUGGACCUCUCUGAAUUUUAGCUGAAUACCCCUGGCUUAGAAGAAGAGGGACAUGAGUCUACAACUGUCAGGGUCCUCUCCUCAUUCCCUCCCCACCUGGCAUCCCAAACAAAACCCCCUCCCUUAUCCUUUUCCUCCCUGUCUUGCCUCCUGUCUCCCAUCCAUCCCUUUUCCUCUGCUUUCCCUCACAGCACUGCACCUGAGUGGAGUUCGGCUUCACAGCCGUCUCCACUCAGGUAAUCAACCUCCUCCACGAGUCCCGGGCAGCUGGAAGAAAUCAUCCUGAUUACUCACCAAGCAAUAAGUACCGGCUCAACACUCCACACCCUGCCAGAUUGUUGAAAUAGACUUUGCUACCCAGCUGCCCGAGAACUUACCCACCCGAAACCCUCACCUGAACCCCCCAACCCAUUCGGCACCGGUCUCCUCCCCACUCGGACCCCCCAUUCCGCCCGGACCCCCUCCUGGAACCCCUGACCCAUUUCCUUCCCGGCCGCUGGAGCUGCAGCAGUCAACCGGCUGCUCCCUGCCUCCUGGAGCUCCUCCCGGAACAUCACCUGCGAGACGCCGUCUCUGCCCGGCCAGUCCAACACCUCGGCCCCCCGGAUCGUCAGAGUGCUACGUCUCGUUCCCUCCGAACCCCUCCUCCUCCAUCGAACUCUGAGCCCUUUGACGUCUGGCCGCCAGGGAUCCCCCACAGCCAUCUGCGACGCUCCGGUCCCGCCCGGACCUUGGACAACCGCCGAUCCCCGUCCCCAGACCCACCCGGCCACAUCCUCCCUCCACCAGCAUCCCUGUUCCUGCAUCCCGGUCUCUGCACUCCAGCCAUAUCCACCCCUGUACAAUAAAACCCUUUUUCAACUUC